GCUCUCGGUGGCUCAGAUGGAUGCAGCGUCUGCCUUGUAAGCAGGAGACCCCGGGUUCGAAUCCCGGACGAGGCA